AUAAAUUUUUAGAUAAAGCGCAAAAAAAAACAUUUAUUUCCUUAUUAAAGUUAUCACACCCUCAAAUUCCAUCCGUUCCAAACAUCUCAAUUCCCUUCUCAAAAACAGUUCCGGUGAAAUUGUCCGUUCCAAACACAGCGUAAACUUGGAAGUGAGGAAAAUAGGAGAUGAAGAAAGAAGGACCCAACAGUGGACUCUACUUGUUCACAGAAGCAUGUCAGCAUAACUGAUUUCAAGAAGAAGACAAUAUUGGAAAGAAACUACACGGAAAACAUACUCGAUUGCGCCAAUGGCUGCCCAUACGAGGCAAGAAAUUAACCAUUUUCUGCUUCUUUGGAUAGAAAAUGUCAUUAAUGUGCAUAUCUCACUGAGGGACCCUGUUAGGUUGUUAUUGAAAGGUGGUCCUCCUGGUCUCAUUUAUUUCUACUGUAAUUUCCUUUGAGAAUGUCAGUUGAAUGGUCGGAAAUUAAAUUUCCAACAUGUCAUGUAGGAAACAUAUGUGUAUAUGUGAAAGAGAUUCAUUGGAAUUAAAGUUGUCUGUUUAGUCA